AUGGUGUACAAACUUGUCUCCAAAGUCCUUGCCAACCGGCUCAAGAUGAUCUUGGAUGAGCUUAUUUCGCCUAAUCAGAGUGCUUUCGUCCCAGGGCGUUUGAUCUCGGACAACACUAUAUUGGCUUACGAAAUGACACAUUUCAUGCGGAGAAAGAGAAGGGGAAAGGAUGUUUAUAUGGCUCUCAAGCUAGACAUGAGCAAAGCUUACGACCGCAUCGAAUGGCCAUUUCUGGAAGGGAUGAUGACACGGAUGGGCUUCGCGGAGGAGUUUGUGCAGCUUAUAAUGAAGUGCGUAACGAUAGUCACCUACCGGUUCAGAGUGAAUGGGGACUUAACUGGAUAUAUUGUUCCUGGUCGUGGGCUGAGACAGGGUGACCCGAUCUCACCAUAUCUCUUUCUCAUAUGUGCUGAGGGAUUUUCAGCAUUACUAAAUCAUGCAGAGGAGGAAGGACGCAUCCGCGGCAUACAGCUUGCUCCAACAGCGCCUCGGGUUAGCCAUCUCCUUUUUGCUGAUGACUCGUUACUGGUCAUGGAAGCCACACUGCAAAGUGUACAGGCCAUCAGUGAAAUUUUACAAGUCUAUGAGGAAAGCUCGGGUCAGGUCAUCAAUAGAGAAAAGUCCUCUGUGAUGUUCAGUAGCAAUGCAAAGCAAAGCGCCAAAAACCUGUUAUUACAGGAAUUGCAACUUGGUGCUGAAUCAAUGAGAGGAAAAUAUUUGGGGCUGCCAACAUACAUUUGGAAGUCGGUCAAGAGAUGCUUUGCAUACAUAAAGGACAGUAUAAUGAGCAGACUUCACGGAGGGAUGGAGAGAUGCUUGUCCAUGGCAGGGAAGGAGGUGUAUGUCAAAGCAGUCGCACAUGCUAUACCGACGUAUGCUAUGGGCUGUUUCGAUCUCACUAGAUCCCUGUGUGAUGAGAUAAGCCAAUUCAUAUGCCGAUACUGGUGGAACCAACAGGCAGAGGAGAGGAAAAUGCAUUGGGUAGGAUGGGAAAAAUGA
rnacentral:rRNA from 1 species